AGUGAACGCUGGCGGUAGGCCUAACACAUGCAAGUCGAACGGCAGCACAGUAAGGGCUUGCUCUUACGGGUGGCGAGUGGCGGACAGGUGAGGAAUACAUCGGAAUCUACUUUUUCGUGGGGGAUAACGUAGGGAAACUUACGCUAAUACCGCAUACGACCUACGGGUGAAAGCAGGGGAUCUUCGGACCUUGCGCGAUUGAAUGAGCCGAUGUCGGAUUAGCUAGUUGGCGGGGUAAAGGCCCACCAAGGCGACGAUCCGUAGCUGGUCUGAGAGGAUGAUCAGCCACACUGGAACUGAGACACGGUCCAGACUCCUACGGGAGGCAGCAGUGGGGAAUAUUGGACAAUGGGCGCAAGCCUGAUCCAGCCAUACCGCGUGGGUGAAGAAGGCCUUCGGGUUGUAAAGCCCUUUUGUUGGGAAAGAAAAGCAGCAGGUUAAUACCCCGCUGUUCUGACGGUACCCAAAGAAUAAGCACCGGCUAACUUCGUG
rnacentral:rRNA from 1 species